GCAAUUGUCUGGCAUUUCCCUAAGACUAGUAGCCAUCUGGCCCAUGGCUGAAGCCUUUCCUGGAUGGCAGAACCCAUCAGGACUUGGAUUGGCUGUCAUGGCCUUUGGGAAGCCAAGGGAUAUACUGGAACCAGCUCAUGGCUCUCGAGAGCUGAUGCUAAAUUUUCAGCGUGAGUUAUAAUCGCUUCCUCUUUGAAACUGACAAAUGCUACCAAUUAGUGUUUGAUUUAUGAUUUUGUUGAUUGCCUGGACUCAAGAAAGUGAUAGAGAAAUCGCUAAUAAUACAGAUCAACCCCCAAAGUGAGUGUUGAUGUUUCAAAUACCUUCUAAGAAAUACUCCUCAAAGAUGAAACACCUGAACUCUAUAUUAUCUGCAUGGCAUUGCAUAAGUUAACUGAUCUGUUGGAGCCCAUUUCCUCAUCUAUAACAUGGAAAGGGAGACACCCCCUCAACUCAGAUUUACAUCCAUCUCCAACCAUCUGGAUCUAUCACACUGGGUGCCUGCAGCGGUUUUCAAGGCUUGUUUUGUUUAUAUUUCUGUUCUUUACCCUGCUGUGAACCAUUUUUCCUUGCACUUUUCAAAUCCAGCCAAUAGCAAAAAAUUGAAAAAAUAAAGACCCAAGGGUUGAAAUCUGACCAAACAGCUUUAAUCAAUAGAGGCUUUCAGAAGAAGACAAUAAUGUAAAUCAGGCUGUUUAGGCCAAGCUUGCAUCUCACUAAGCACUUUGUAAAGGGCCAGCCACUGAUCUGUAAGGCGGAAGAAGACGGCUUUCAACACUUAUGUUCCAUAGUGAGUUGAACAUGUGUUUAAGGUAUAUGAAAUGUGGAACAAGGCAGAGAAGAGCAUUUGCACGCUAAGAAUCCAUUACUGGUCUUUGGAAGCUCUCACGUGGGGCUUUUAAAAUGAGGGGCUCCAUUUUUUCAGGUUCUUUCUAGCCCCAAAGUCUUAAUCUGAAGCUUCCUCAUGGCAUGGAGAUCAUCUGGAGCUCUUGAGGCUGUGGCUAGUAGAGCACAAACUUGGGCAGAUUCUACCCAGCUGGAAAAACUCCAAAUACCAUCUUGGCAAACCAUCCUAGCCAAAUGAGCCAAGAGGCUAGCUAAUCACCAGGUAAUAAAAUUUUAAAUUACACACA
rnacentral:lncRNA from 1 species